GCAGGCAUGGUGUAAUGGCAGCAUAGGACACUUCCACUGUCUUGGUCUGGGUUCAAGCCCUAGUGCCUGUA
rnacentral:tRNA from 1 species